rnacentral:tRNA from 1 species
UUUAAUAUGGCAGAUCAGUGCAAUGAAUUUAAGCUUCAUAAAGAAAAAAAAUUUUUUUUUUAUUAAAA